rnacentral:rRNA from 1 species
UACGUAGGGGGCAAGCGUUGUCCGGAAUUAUUGGGCGUAAAGAGCUCGUAGGCGGUUUCGUAAGUCGGAUGUGAAAACUCAGGGCUCAACCCGGAGACGCCACCUGAUACUGCGAUGACUGGAGUCUGGUAGGGGAUCACGGAAUACCUGGUGUAGCGGUGAAAUGCGCAGAUAUCAGGUGGAACACCGAUGGCGAAGGCAGUGAUCUGGGCCAGUACUGACGCUGAGGAGCGAAAGCGUGGGGAGCAAACAGG